UGGCAGGUCAGCAUACUGCCGUGAAUACGUUCCCGGGCCUUGUACACACCGCCCGUCACACCAUGAGAGUUGGGGAUACCCGAAGCCUGUGAGCUAACAUUAUGAGGCAGCAGUCGAAGGUAGAAUCAAUGAUUGGGGUGAAGUCGUAACAAGGUACC
rnacentral:rRNA from 1 species